UGAGUUCGCCCCGGGGAAGCGGGCGGCCCCAUUUGGUAGCACGUGAGGCGGGGAGAUCCCUGGCCUUUCCACGGCCCAUCCCCGGGAUAGAUCUCCCGAUGUCGAUAGGUCUGGGAGUAAACCCUCGACUGGCUCGCUCUCCCUGCGACCGGUGGCGACGGCCUCCGCCUCCAGCCUCCACCUCCGUUCGGUGCAUCUCCGUCCGACGACCGGAUAGCGCCGCCCCCCGCGCCCUCCCUCAAGAGAACCGCCUCCACAGUCCGUCCCUCCGGCAGCAGCGACGGCGACGGACCGGGCGUCAUCCAUCUCCCCUCUGCCUCAAAGCUUCUAUCACCUCCGGCGACGACGAUGGCCAAGAGGUCACCCUCCUUUCACCAAGAUCCAAGAAACUCCUCUUGCGUCUGAGAUUUGUAUCACAAGUGAGCAAGUGUACACCUUACAUCCACGUUUGCAGCACCUCUAACCAUCCUGAUCUCACAACUAAGCACAAUCACCUUUGUUUCCUUGUGAUGUUGUAUACACGAUGCUAAUCUAUGCACAGUGUUCUUUGUGAUUAAUUAACUCUUGUAAUGCUAUUUUUUGAGUCAGGCAUAGCUAACAAGCUGUAUAUUUGAACAAUGGCUUUAUGGAGGUGUAUAGUAUUAGCUUUCCUUUAUAAAUGGUUAACACAACAUUUAAUUUCACCUGAAAUCAACAUUAUGACAUGCUGACUAUAACCAAACAAAGACAACUUUUAUCAUGCAGCCCAACAUCUUAGGGUUGAGAAUUUUGUCAUAGGAUCUGCACCAUGGGCUGCAUUUACUUAUUAAAUCCUUGCACUUUUUCUAGAUGCUUCCUAUGAUCUUACUUGUUGUGAAUUAUCUUGCAAUACCAUUUUAUUUAACUCACCAUGCCAAGAGGACAUGCCUUGUUUUACAAUCGCUAGUUGGUCCAUGUUUUGCUUGGUUCUCUGAAAACAUGUGUGGCAUGAACCUGAACUGCACUAAUUCUUGAUGUGAUGUAUAACUCGAAGAUGGUUACUUCAGUGCACAGUGAGCUGAUGCAUCACAUGACAUCCCUUGAAAUUCUUUUACUGCUCCCCUUCAAACUUGGCACUGUUCUUGAUUACAGUCUUGUUCCCACCAGAUGCAUGAACAUGAGCUCAAUACUUAAUACGACAGGCGCUGUAUCAUGAGCUAGCAGAGUAUGUGCAUCUGUGCUCCUGCCGCUCCACUUCCAGGUGAUGGCGUCGGGUUGGUCAGAGAGGGUGAAGCUCUCAAGUUCCCGCCAAAGUAUCAGGUUUCCUAAAGAUAGCAAAUAAAAAUGUUCAAAGAAGUUGAUGCUGGAAGUUUCAGUAAAGUGUCUAUUUCAACAGCAAAACUUUUUGCUAUGGACGUGUCACAUAUGGGCAUUUUUUUAAUGGAGCUAAAUGCUUAUUCUUGCUGGAUUUUUAACCGUAGUUAGUAUUUAAAAAAACAUGAUUAGCACAAUAAAUUUUAUCCUCAGUAGUGUUGUGUAAUUUGUGCGACUCGACCGCAUAACUUAUUGUUAGCAUGUAAUUGGGUUGAAGUGUUAAUUUGCUGAUUAUGUGUGUGUUAUUAUUUUCUCCAAAAAAAUCCUGAAUUAUUCUCUAUCUUCCUGAGAACUUGUGUCAUUUCUGGACUUAUCAAGGAAAUAUACAGAAAUUUUAAUUA